CAAGAAAAAAAUAUAUAUUCAGCAAAUCUAGACAUUAGACUCAUGUUUGAAACUUGAGACAUCGCAGUGCAACAUCAAACAAGGAGACACGGGCAGACUAUACAGUGAACUAACUAAACCGCGGAGGAAUUUCAGACGAGCAACUCACGAACUUGAGGAAGCUGUCCAUUGGGCUGGCGCGAAGAGGCAUAUUCAAUGUGGAUGAGGCACACGCAUGUGAGUCUGAGACUGGAUGAAGGGCAAACAUUUGACUGAGUCUGAUACUUGAUGAAGGAUCAUUAGACAGCUGAGUUCGAUCGGUGUCCGGGUCAUAGGGUGGAAGAUGUAGGAGUGAGGAAACGAUUUUGCUGCGAUUGGAAAUGCAGAUCCACCGGCUCAUGGUGAGACACUUCAUACACACAAGAAGGGUGUGCAAGCUGGCCUCCUAAUACGAAGACUACGAUGGUGCAAUG